CCGCCUUUAGCUCAGUUGGUAGAGCAACUGACUCUUAAUCAGUGGGUCCUGGGUUCGAGUCCCCGAAGGCGGACCA
rnacentral:tRNA from 2 species